CCUACGGGGGGCAGCAGUGGGGAAUAUUGCACAAUGGGGGAAACCCUGAUGCAGCGACGCCGCGUGAGUGAAGAAGUAUUUCGGUAUGUAAAGCUCUAUCAGCAGGAACGAGACAAGACGGUACCUGACUAAGAAGCCCCGGCUAACUACGUGCCAUCAGCCGCGGUAAUUCGGAGGGGGCAAGCGUUAUCCGGAUUUACUGGGUGUAAAGGGAGCGUAGACGGCAGCGCAAGUCUGGAGUGAAAUGCCGGGGCCCAACCCCGGAACUGCUCUGGAAACUGUGAAGCUGGAGUGCAGGAGAGGUAGGCGGAAUGCCUGGUGUAGCGGUGAAAUGCGUAGAUAUCAGGAGGAACACCGGCGGCGAAGGCGGCUUACUGGACUGUAACUGACGUUGAGGCUCGAAGGCGUGGGGAGCAAACAGGAUUAGAUACCCCAGUAGUC
rnacentral:rRNA from 1 species